GUGGGCUUUGAGUCUCUUUCUCAAGCUUCAGUGUGACAGCCAGUCAAUUUCCUGCUGCCUUCUGGUCACUCUCAGCUCCAGCACCAUGUCUACCUGCAUGCUUCCAUGCUCCCUGUCAUGAUGAUAAUGGACCGAACCUCUGAAACUAAAGCAGCAGCAAUGGAAAAAGAAGAAGAAGAAGGAGAAAGAAGAAGAUUUCCCCCCUGCAUAAAUGAGCUUUGCUGUUGUCAUGCUGGUGCUUGCUCUUCAAAGCAAAAAAGAAAGGCAGGAAGGCCAGGCAGGUGCUUCCCCAGGUCAUGAGCAGGAGGCACUGUGAGGUGCAAGACACACUGUGAGGUGCAGGAGGCACUGUGAGGUGUAGGAGGCUCUGUGAGGUAUAGGAGUCUCUGUGAGGUAUAGGAGGCUCUGUGAGGUGCAGGAGGCUCUGUGAGGUGCAGGAGGCUCUGUGAGGUAUAGGAGGCUCUGUGAGGUAGAGGAGGCUCUGUGAGGUAUAGGAGGCUCUGUGAGGUGCAGGAGGUUCUGUGUAGGCAGCCCCACCUUUGGUGGACAGUGCUUUUUUUCUUGCUUUGCUAUGGUAGGGAUAGAGUCUAUCUAACCUUUGUAAGAGCUCUGAAGGUUCAGAUACUGAGUCUGGAGACUGGAGAUACUCUUCAGCAAUUAAGAACACUGACUGCUCUUCCAGAGGAUCUGAAUUCGGUUCCCAGCACUCCCAUUGAGUGGCUCACAGCUGCCUGCAACUCUAGCUCCAGGGGACCUGAGGCCUCUGGCUUUCCAAGACUGCAUUUCUGAGCAGAUGCAGACACAGACAUGUAUACACAAUUAAAAAUAAUAAAUAUAAACCUUUUUGGAAAAAUUUAGUCUG
rnacentral:lncRNA from 1 species